UACAGAGGUCUCAAGCGUUGUUCGGAUUCAUUGGGCGUAAAGGGUGCGUAGGCGGCGCGGUAAGUCGGGUGUGAAAUCUCGGAGCUUAACUCCGAAACUGCAUUCGAUACUGCCGUGCUUGAGGACUGGAGAGGAGACUGGAAUUUACGGUGUAGCGGUGAAAUGCGUAGAUAUCGUAAGGAAGACCAGUGGCGAAGGCGGGUCUCUGGACAGUUCCUGACGCUGAGGCACGAAGGUCAGGGAGCAAACGGG
rnacentral:rRNA from 1 species